GUCGAGCGGUAGCACAGGAGAGCUUGCUCUCUGGGUGACGAGCGGCGGACGGGUGAGUAAUGUCUGGGAAACUGCCUGAUGGAGGGGGAUAACUACUGGAAACGGUAGCUAAUACCGCAUAACGUCUACGGACCAAAGUGGGGGACCUUCGGGCCUCACGCCAUCAGAUGUGCCCAGAUGGGAUUAGCUAGUAGGUGGGGUAAUGGCUCACCUAGGCGACGAUCCCUAGCUGGUCUGAGAGGAUGACCAGCCACACUGGAACUGAGACACGGUCCAGACUCCUACGGGAGGCAGCAGUGGGGAAUAUUGCACAAUGGGCGCAAGCCUGAUGCAGCCAUGCCGCGUGUGUGAAGAAGGCCUUAGGGUUGUAAAGCACUUUCAGCGAGGAGGAAGGGUUCAGUGUUAAUAGCACUGUGCAUUGACGUUACUCGCAGAAGAAGCACCGGCUAACUCCGUGCCAGCAGCCGCGGUAAUACGGAGGGUGCAAGCGUUAAUCGGAAUUACUGGGCGUAAAGCGCACGCAGGCGGUUUGUUAAGUCAGAUGUGAAAUCCCCGCGCUUAACGUGGGAACUGCAUUUGAAACUGGCAAGCUAGAGUCUUGUAGAGGGGGGUAGAAUUCCAGGUGUAGCGGUGAAAUGCGUAGAGAUCUGGAGGAAUACCGGUGGCGAAGGCGGCCCCCUGGACAAAGACUGACGCUCA
rnacentral:rRNA from 1 species